UUACGGCCAUAUCACUUUGAAACAGCGGUUCUUGUACGAUCACCGAAGUUAAGCAACGUCAAGCCUCAGUACCCAGAUGGGUGACCACUUUGGAAUACCAGUAUUG